rnacentral:rRNA from 1 species
UACGUAGGGUGCAAGCGUUGUCCGGAAUUAUUGGGCGUAAAGAGCUCGUAGGCGGUUUGUCGCGUCUGCCGUGAAAGUCCGGGGCUCAACUCCGGAUCUGCGGUGGGUACGGGCAGACUAGAGUGAUGUAGGGGGGACUGGAAUUCCUGGUGUAGCGGUGAAAUGCGCAGAUAUCAGGAGGAACACCGAUGGCGAAGGCAGGUCUCUGGGCAUUAACUGACGCUGAGGAGCGAAAGCAUGGGGAGCGAACAGG